rnacentral:rRNA from 1 species
UACAGAGGCCUCGAGCGUUAGGCGGAAUCACUGGGCUUAAAGCGUGUGUAGGCGGUCUUCUAAGUACCUUGUGAAAUCCCACGGCUCACCCGUGGAACUGCUUGGUAUACUGGUCGUCUUGAGCCUUCUAGGGGCGAGUGGAACAAAUGGUGGAGCGGUGAAAUGCGUAGAUAUCAAGUGGAACACCAGUGGCGAAGGCGAGUCUCUGGACAUUUCCUGACGCUGAGGCACGAAAGCCAGGGGAGCAAACGGG